rnacentral:rRNA from 1 species
UUUAGUGCCCNGCNGACGCGGUUAGACUUAGGGGCCCCCAAGCGCUUUAUGAGCAACGGUUCGUAAAGGGUGCGUAGGCCGACUGCCCCNCCCUGCCCCCAAGGUGGUAUGUGGAAUGCUUCUGUAGCAGAUGUAGUUUUGUGCAGGAUAGUUAUAUAGCCCUGCCGUUCUAANAGCUUUGAAGCAUUUUANCGUGGGGAUGGGAGGGGGNCUGCUUCGNGAAUGCNCCCCUCGGAGAAUCNNCGGGNUGAAACGCGCAGCUGGCUGUGGGGGGCANUCUGGGUUUGACUUGACCGCCUGGUGAGUCCGCACUGUAAACNGAUGUUGAAACUNCGAAUGUCAGUGACCGNGAUCGGCAGUAANUNUUUCCCGCCUGAGUAGUACUAUCGCUAAGAUUAAAAUUCAAAAAAUUUGGCUGUUCACCGUUUCGAUUAGAGGAGCGUGUAGUUUAAUUCUAUAAACCGCGAGAUACCUUACCCAAACUUGAAUCCUUGAGGAUUUUAAGGAAUCCUUAUGGACCGGUACUUGCAUGGCCGUCGUCAGUUCGUGUCUCAAACUUAAAACGGACCCACCCCGAGGCUUAGCCGGGGCUGAAGUCGGGCCUUAUGCCGUCCCCAUGUUUGGGGAUUAUAUGCUCUACAUUUUCUUAUUCAUUGGGAAACUUGGGAGGUGAAACCCAAAAGUGUGAGUUCCAGUAGGCUAUUGGGAGAUGGCCAGNGAAAGUUGAAUUUAAUAUUAAUUCGAAANGUCUANGGCUUUCGGUGAAAUGGUCUAGGUGUUAGCACCAAUNGCCCNAUAAAAA